rnacentral:pre_miRNA from 1 species
CUUAAAGACAUUAUUGAGUGCAGCGUUGAUGAGAAUGGGAAUGGGAAUGGGCACGCCAAUCUCCUCUCCAUUAUAAUUCUCACCGGCACUGCACUCAACCAUGUUUUAA